UCUAAUGUGGCAGAUUAGUGCAAUGAAUUUAAGAUUCAUAUAUAAAAUGUAAAUUUUUGUUAGAA
rnacentral:tRNA from 1 species